rnacentral:rRNA from 1 species
UACGAAGGGGGCUAGCGUUGUUCGGAAUUACUGGGCGUAAAGCGCACGUAGGCGGAUCGAUCAGUCAGGGGUGAAAUCCCAGGGCUCAACCCUGGAACUGCCUUUGAUACUGUCGAUCUGGAGUAUGGAAGAGGUGAGUGGAAUUCCGAGUGUAGAGGUGAAAUUCGUAGAUAUUCGGAAGAACACCAGUGGCGAAGGCGACUCACUGGCCCGAUACUGACGCUGAGGCGCGAAAGCGUGGGGAGCAAACAGG